GGCGCUGAAGCUCAGUGGGUGAGCGCCCGAUUGCAAUUGUCUGGCAUCGGGAGGUCCCGUGUUCGAACCACGGUAGUGUCU